UUUGUAGUGUAAGUAUGUCUCAUUCAAUAUUUGGGACAUACUUGUACUAAAA
rnacentral:pre_miRNA from 1 species